GCCUAAGGUACUUGGGGCAUGGUUCAGUCUGUAAAGUGCUUGCCACAGGGACUUAAGUUUGAGCCUCAAAGCCAUGUUAAAAAGCCAAGUGACCUGACCAGCUUUGGCAUUGGGUGAGCUACCAGGGCAAUGCUACAGAGCUGGCCCUCAUGGUGGGGGUGCUGGACAGCUGGUGGGAUGACCAUCUCAGCUACCUUCCAGGCCCAGAUCCAGAGCUUUGAGUUGGCCCACCCCAACAUCUACCCCACCCAUGAACUCCUGGAGCGUGUGAAACUUUGGAUCUGCAGGAUCUCCACAAUGCAGGGCAACAACAGGAUGAUGAGAAGAGUCCCCCUGAGGAUCCAGUAUUGAUAGGGUAACAGAAACCACAGGCCUCGAACCAGACCACUGACUCGCUGCAAUGAACAUUUGUAAGAAGAGAUGUGUGGACGAAAGGGUGUACUGUGUGACACAGUGUGACACGUCUCAGUUUCCAUGGGCAGGUCCUGCCCUGAAAACAUGCUGGGAGGUAAACAUGCUGGGCAAGCUCCAGGUGAAAAGCAUGCUGGGACAGGAAGUGAACUGCUGUGGAGAAGACCAACCCUCAUCCAUGAAGGUUCAGCCAUGUGAUUCUUCAGACCCCUAACCAAGAAGUCCUCACAGGCCUCUCAGGGCUUAAGCAGCCUCUAAUGGACGGUGAAUUCCCUGAGGGCAGCAACCCUGCUUGUCUCUGUCCUCACUGUGGCCUCAGCCCCUAGUGCCCUCUGAGGACUCAGGCAGUCUUGGAGGAAUGAAUGAAAGCCCAGGGAGGAGCUGUUCAUGGUGGCACACACCUUUAAUCCCAGCGCUUGGGAGGCAGAGCAGGAGGACCUCUGUGAGCUUGAGGCCUUCCUAGUCUACAUAGGGAAUUCCAGGCCAGCCAGGACUACACAGUGAGACCCUGUCUGGGUACCACAAGGAGAUGUAACAGAAGAAGGAAGCCCCACGUUCCUCACCAACCAUGCCAUGAGCUUUGGUCCCAGUUGCAGAGUGAGAAUUGAAUUGAGCACCAGCAUUCCUCUCUCUGCUCCUGACUUCACACUUGCCACCAUGGCUCCUCAACCAUGACGACUGUACCCUCAAACUGGGGUCCCAAGUAUGCUUCUUUUGUCAGUUAUUUUGUUCCACGCAACCAAUACACCAAACAAAGAAAGUCUGAUGCACGCGGCUGGUUUGGGAGGCCGAUGGUUCGUCAGACCGGGACUGGCUGUGAAGCCGGUGACAUCCUCUGCUGCCUCUGUCAUCUCACAGGGGCCAGGUGCUCGCCCACACCUUUGCUAGCUCAGGCAUGUGGAGCCAGGGAAAUUGCCUAUGACUUGAGCUCCCUGUAUGGUACUAGCACCAAGUCCUGCAGGAGAUAUGGCGGGAACAGAGGGUGCCUGAGGCGGAGGGGCAGGCAAAGGGCCGGGCUUCGAUGGUGUACGACGCUGCAGGGAGUGUUGAGAUGAUGGGUACAUCUGCCUCAGGGCUAGCCAGGGCUUACAGGAAAUAAGGUCAAAUGGAAGGCAAGAACCAGAGGUCAGUGGACAGCUGCAAGUUCCUGGAAGGCAAAACUCGGAUGAGGCAGGAGGAACCAGAGUGUGGAGAAUGACAGAUUUGGGAGCACUCUCUAAGGCUGGGAGUCACAGCCUGGUUCCCGAAGCCCACGUGGGCGGGAUCCCUGCAGCUGAUGGAAGGAAGGCCUUUGAGAGCCGAGGCAGAUGCGGUGUUCUUUGCUGCUCUGGCCUCUGAAUUAAAGAAAGCCAGAUGCCCAAGGCUUUGGGAUACAGGACAGCCUCUGGGAGGACUUUAUCCAGCAGUGGCUCUCAGACUUGCCUACACAGAGCUCACCUGUAGGGUCUUCAUGAGCCUGGACAGUGGACUUCCUCAGAGUGGAGGGCAUGUGUGGGGAUGGGGGCUGUGACAAGCUCUCCAGGAGUCCCCACGCAGGACAUGAAGAAACCCCUGUGUGCUGUGAGGAGGGCUGCCUCCCGGUCCUUACCUGCUCUGUUGUUCUGGUCACUGCUACCCACAUGUCCCUGGAGCCCUUAGAAGAUCACUCCAACGCCAGGUCUCUGCAGCUGACCACUGUCACAGCCAUUCAGACCUGUGCUACCAAAGAGCUUGGUGGAGAUGGUGGACAAGGCUCUGAGGAGGCUUCUGGCUUUGGCUGUGCAACUCUGGGAGAACCAUUGCUGACAGGGCCAAGAGUGAGAGCUCGGUCUCCUUGUGUCUCCAAGACCCAGCUCUGAAAGGUGCCUCUGGUGACAGGUGACAGUUUGUGACCCAUGUGAGUAUAUAGAAGCAGCUUCAGCCUAUGU